rnacentral:snoRNA from 1 species
CUCCUCUCAGGAUUGCAUCUGGAGAGUUUCCAGGACUCUACCAGUCUCGGCUAAGAGAGGCAGAGUCAAGCAGAGGCCUGUCCAUUCCAUUUCCAGUUUGGGCAGUGGCUAGUGAGUGGAAGGCAAUCUGCUACGAGU